GCCGGAGGAGUUGGUCAGCUUCCUUAUGGUGGCGCUCCAUUGAUCCCUGCUGGAAUGGAUGGGGACGGGGGUUACCCCUACGGUGCCCAGCAGCUUGGCCAUGGGGCUGAUGCUGCCAAAUCUGCCAGCAAAUAUGGUGCAGGUGGAGUGGGAUACCCAGCUCAGCAGACAGGCUUCGCUGGACAGCUGGGGACAGGUCAAGAUGCCUACGGAGGGCCGGCUGGCAAAUAUGGCAG